CUAAUGUCAAGGUCCACAGGAGAGUGCCGUUGACUGUCUGUUCCCUGGCUAGCUUCUUCCCUGGUCCUGCCUUGAUCUUGAAUUACCCACCAAGUGCCGCUGGCUGCAGCAUCCUGGAGUUUCUGGCUGUUGACUCCAUAAAGACCUUGCACUUUGCCCAUUGUCCUGCAGAGCUGGGCAGGUCCACAGCCUAGGCCUGAGAGUUUGCUGCUGUUUCUGGCUGAUGUAGGCCUGGGUGAUUCUCUGCCCCACCCUAACUCUCCCAUAUUGGUGCUGACAGCUCACAGGGCCCCGACUCAGCAGAGUGGGCAUUGUCCUAAAGGAAGUGACACUCCAGAUUCCAGCGGACAGUAACGUUGAUUGCAAGAACAUGCUGGGGAGCUGGGGAGCGAGCCACACAGCUCUUCUGCGCUUCCAGAACACUGCUGUUUGACCAGUGACGCAGGAGAGAAUGCAGAACGCAACCACCAGGAGUUCAGCCUGAGCAAGGCCCUUCAAGGCAGAUACAGACAUGCCUCACUCGGAGGCUUCUUCAAGACCUGAAUUGCUUGUCGAGUUAUAGGAGUGUGGUUGGCAACAGACUUCAGCUCUUGGCUUCCUUAGGGUCCUCCUCACCUUUCAAGCCAGAAGCCAGGGACUGUCUUGAUCAGUCUUCUGUCGCUAUAACUUAACUCUACAGGCUGGGUAACGUAUAAAGAUUAAAGGUUUGCUCAACUAGUGCUUCUGGGGGGCCAGGUCAAGGAGCCACAGCCUAUGAGAACCUCCUGGUGAGGUGGGUCCAGGCAACAGGAGGCAACAGAGGUGCAUUCAAGUCAUGGAGCUAAACUGCAGCAGCCCCACUCUGGUGAUGAACCCAGAAUCCAAACCUCAUAAUCUAAUCAUUCCUUAAGGCUCCACCCCCCACUUAAGCUUCGGAAUGUGAACCUGGACCUGGGUGGGGCGGUCAAGCUGUAACAGUCACACGCUGCUUGGGCACAUCCACGGUGACUGAACAGGACAAAGUGCAAAGUCCAGCCAUCCUCUCCUACCACAGGACAUGAUAACAUCACUUGUGUGAGCAGAACACCUCAGAUAGAAACCUGUCAGGUCUGCUGCGGCUCAUGAUGGCAGUCGGCCUGGACAGGUGGCCUUCAGAGGCUGCACUUGCCAAUCUGUUUCCUUCUCUUAAGUCUCCUCCCUGGAAAACAUUCCUAGCCUCUUUGCAGCUCCUCACGUUGGGAACCUGCCCUUUCCUGAGGGGGCUGUCAGAGACCCUCUGAAGACUGACAUCCUUUGGAAAAGUCUCCUCACAGGCCCGGCAGCUCACACCUGGAACACGGCAGCACCCAAGUGGCUGAUGAGAGACCGACCAUUCCUGCAAGUUUAAGGCCUGCUUGGACUGCAUAGCAAGUUCCAAGGCCACCCUUGGCUACAAACUCUGUUUCAAAUGCCUACAGAAAAGAAGGAAGAAAGGAAGA